ensembl:lncRNA
UCCAGGAACAUUCAUUAUCUCACUUCACCUUUGUGCUCCUGUGAGUAAAUAAUGUCUCUGUUCUACAGAUGAGGAAACCAAGGCUUCGAGGUACCCAAUAACUGGCUUAAAGUUACUGGCAUCUGUGGCCCUCACUUCUCUGCCAGACUCCAUGUCCCGAAGGCUGACCUUGCAGAGUGCACCACCUGGGCUACCUGUUCAGUUCAACCAACAAGAAUUGUCCUCUUCCACUGCCUCAAUGCUAAGGAUCCAACUGUGGCUUCUCCUUUUAUAACAACUCCUGAUAGACUCUUACCAUAACACCAGCU